rnacentral:tRNA from 1 species
CAGAAGUGACUUGUUUGGUCUCUGAUUCUUGCACUCAGGCACAAGACAACCUGACAUUUCAGGAGAUGGUCUGUCAGAAUUGGAUCUCUGAGUGGGGUGGCUCUUGAUAGGGAUCCCUGUUAACUGUGACUAGAAUCCUGAGAAGAGAAAAACCUUCCUGAAAUGGGCAUAUCCCUGGCUGGCCUGGAACCAACCUUUCGGACUUAGGACUAUGGGAAGAAUAGGGGGAGAUUCUCUAGUGAUGAUAAUACAUGAAUGCUUUAAAAGCUAGAACAGGCGUCCCUGGGUGGUCUUGAACUACUCACCGUUCGGUUAAUAGCCGAACGCUCUGACCGAUUGCGCCACAGAGACAGGUACUAGCGAUUCCACUGGGCGCUAUAGGCAGGGCGCACUCACCGAACUCCCCAAUCCCUUCCAGCCUCAGAGCCCGCCUGGCAGGACUACUGAGCAAGGCCUUGGAAAAUCGGAGCGAUUAGAGCGAAGUGCUUCGGUCAGGCAGUAUCUUUGAAAAUAAUUUGGCCAAUGAAAGCCCUGGCAUUGGAUGAAAGUGCUAGCUGCUGGGAAUGCUACCCCUCCUUUUGGUUCUCUUUCAAGUCCUUCAGGUUCAAACAAUACAGAAGUGUAUAAAGUAAGAAUUGAAAGUCUCUUCGCUGCUCUAAUCUCACUCCUCAGAGGUGAUCACUGAUUAUCAUCCCAGAGCCCUCCCUGAAGCCCACACACAGCUUCUUCAGGAAAUGCUGACAGCAUGGACCUGAGUGAGCAGAAGGCUUUUCAGAAUUACAGCCUGAACUAUUUCUUGAGCAAUUUGGGAACUCAUUUCUAAAGCAGUCCUCAGAUUCACACAACGUAGUUUGUGACGGAGUAUGCCCAGAGCAGUGUUAUCACCAGUGCUUUCAGUAACUGCAUACUUAUAAAACAGCCAAACUUCAACCUGUGUUCAGUUUUUAUCUGUUUCUUGGGAAUGUAAUUUGGACAAAAAAGUUACCAAUGUAUUUACAACCAAAUUUCAGAUCUUCAACAUUACAGAGGCUGUCUUGUUGAUGGGGGUGCACCCUGACGAAUGGUGUGCUGGCAAAGAUUUAACAAAAGGCUCCAGAGGAGGGCAGACUUGAAGUGGAGCCUUCAGUGGGCAGUGUGAAGGGUGCUGAUUUCAAACAACUCAUCUGGUAUGACUGAACAUGAAGUUGGGAAGAGAUGUGCAUAAUUGAAGUGGGUGAGAGCCAGUCCAGCACCCUGCAGAGAGUGUGGAAGAUGAUCAAAGUAUGACAUUUCUUCUACCCCAGAGGCUGGCAUUUCUGCAGGCACAAAUGAGCUUGGUUUUCAAGCACUGCUCUUUGAACACAAGGAAUUCCUUUAAUGAUCACGCCGGACUAUAUAGACUUUGGAAUCAGACUCUUUGAAUUCCAGCUCUGCCAUUUACCAACUUUGACACUUUGGACAACGUCUCAUUCUGUCACCCAGGCUGGAGUGCAGUGGCACAAUUAUAGCUCACUGCAGCCUCAAACACCUGGGCUCAAGCAAUCCUUCCACCUCUGCCUCCUGAGUAAUUGGGACUACAGGGUUUUGGAAAUCUGGAUUGUAGCAGGGCAUUGUAAGUUAAAAAAUCAUCUUCCCAUUCUGUUCUUUGCAAAGAUAUUUCUGUUCCUUAAAUUUGUUGAGGGUAAGAGAUUGCAGAUUGCUUCUGUGGACUUCUUGAAGGUGGAUCUGCCUGUUGGUGGAGAACCCUAGACUGCAUGCAGCCAUGCACAUGAUCUGGAGACACAGCAGGUCAUCCUCAGCAUUUAUACUCUCUCUCCUUUUGUGCCCCCAUGGACCAAGUUAAGAAGGUGUAGGCUUCAAAUCUUAAGAUCGGUCACCACAAAAUUCAAAAAGACAAGGUCUUUGUCUGUUGCUCAGGAUGGAGUGUAGUGGUGCCAUAGCACACUGUAAUCUUGAAUUUCUGGACUACUGGCAUACACCACCAUGCUUAGGUUCGGGCCACAACAUCCGUGACUUUACCGGUUUUGGUCUCUUCCUUGUAACUUUCGGCUCCAGGAUGCUGCGCAGCUCCUCUCUGCACUAUCUAUCAGAACGUUGCUCUGCGUGCUUGAAAGUUUCGCCAAACAGAAGUACACAAAAACAAACAGAGGCGAAACACAAAUCCCCUCAGCCCUGGAGGAAAAGGCCUUGAAGCUCUUCCAGUGCAGAGGCCACGCAGAGGACAUGCUCCUACCUGUGCACAUCGGCCACGCCUGGGGUGCCUCCUGGAGUCCAGGCUGCUGGCGAUGGAAUCCAUCAUGUUGCUGAUGUCACUACUCUCAACUCCUGAUGGCAUCAGAACACAGGCAGCAUCAAGAUCAGGCUCAAGAUGCAGGAUUUUAUCAUCCAAAUCAGGCCCACAUAUGGAUGAAACCCUUCAGGUAUUCUGCACAUCUCUCAGGAAACCCAGAUGAAAUUGAGUGCCUGCUGCCCACAUCAGCAACCCAGACAUCCCACUUGAUUCUGCUUCUGGAGCCUAAGAUGGGAAAAUGGCAGGUGUCGCAGGUUGCAGGGGAAGGUCGGAGACCAGUUGAGGGCCCCGGAGUCUGUCUGGAAAGAGUUUUCCAUCCAGCCCGUCUCGGUUUCCGCAUCCGUGUGAGUCCUUUAUGACGUCGGGAAUGCCAAGGUCUGAGUCCUUUAUGAUGUUCAGGGUGCCCCGGUCUCACCCCGGGAGCCUCCUCGCUCCGGCCUGCUCCUGGCUACCCGGUGGGCGGCUCUGGCCCCAGCGACCCGCUACUGUUUCUCCAUGCGCUGCCACUUCGCAAAGGCACAUCUCUAGGUCAGUGGUCAGCUGCAGCCAGGGCGCUGCAACUCGCUCCAGGACUCGGGAAUCAGGGCCUUGGUGGGCCUCGCAGAGUGCUGGGUGUGUCGCCUGCGGGCUCCUCUUUUGGAGAAAGGAGGGAGGGAAAGGCCUUGUGAGACGACUCCAGGAGCGACCAGCGACCCCCACAAGGCCCAAGUCCUCCCAGCGCACUCAGAAACAGUCACUUAAAUGGCAAUAAGGUUGAGAAAGACUCUCCCGUGCCCCCGUGCUGGUGUAGUGGCUGUGAUUCAGUCCUUUCACCACCGCAUCCCGGGUUCGAUUACCGGUCAGGGAGUUGUUUUGCACUGACUGCCCACCCGCAGUAAUCUUUCUUUACUCCGCUGUCAGCCGGCCUGCUCCAAGAGCCAGAGGCAGAAGAGUCUCCCUGCAAGGUGCAAACCCUGGCGAAGGAGGGCAAGUCCUGGUGGACGGCCUCUCAUGACACACCCUCUUAUUUAUCUCCGUGUCCACCAUUCGCAGAAGGGGCUUUAGAGAGCGACUGAGCGUCUCGCUCAGGUGUACACCACCGUGCAGAGAUGGCAGCUCUCCUGGAGGUGUACCCAAGAAGCCCACCAUCUUUGCCGCCUCCGCCAUCCCAGAGGCGCCGAUUGGGCUGAGCUGCAAAUAACUAAGAGAGAGAGAGGCCAAGCCAAGUCGUGGCGUUUGUGUGCGGCACACGUCGUCAGCUGACACAGGCGGUCAGCUGAGCCUCCUCACCUCAGUUCGCAGCUAACAUGCUUCUUAGGCCUUCGGAAGAGGCGACAGGAGGCGAUGGCCGCGAGGUUGGGAGGGGGGUGAGCGGCGGGUGAGGUCCUCCAGGACCGCCCAUUUAUUGACUGGGUGGUACAGGAGGGCGAUGUUCGCUUACCCAACAACGACAGCAGGUGGAGUAGGCACUAAUGGAAAACUGUGGCCGGUGCCCUAAGCAGAAGGCAGGUGUAAAAAUCACUAGGACAUCAAAGGGAUAGUACCACAGUCAAAUCCCGCAAUGUCUGUCUACACUCUACCAAGCAAUUGUGCACCCUCCCCCUUUUCCAUUCAGUACUCCCAAGAAGGGUUGGGACGAACCCUGUGUCCACUGUAAAGCUCAGGGGAGAGCGGGAGCGAGGGAGGUGAAGUGCACAGACUGGGCAGAGGCGGCGGGCAGAACUGCGGGGGUGAGAGGGCGCGGUGGCUGCGGGGCGGGAGCCUCUGCUGAAAGGAGGCCUGGGUUGUCCUGUGGGUGACUGUUGGUGGAAUCUUUGGCAGCGAGUGGUUGGAAGAAUGGCGACGGGCGAGCAGAGGGGAAGGUGGUGACCCUGAGCGUCUGGCUAGGGGAGAGGAGGCUGUACUGACACUCGUCUCCUCUUACCUGGCGAGGGACAGACCGUGGUCAAGAAGGGAGCUCUCCCUGGUUGAGGCUAGUCCACCACACUCCAGCUGCUCUGACCCCUGCGAUUUCCCUACACGCGGGGCGCUUGUCUGCGGUGGUGUUUGCGCUACCCGGGGGCUGGGUUCACGCAGGCUCCUGACAGUCCUUGGCUCACCGCCCCCGACGCGGAUAUCGCCGCUAGAGACCCUUCCGCCACCCUCCUAGGGAUCUUGAGGGCCUUCCUUGUUGUUCCGACUGAAGCUCACGAACAGACAGAUGUGAGCUCUCUGUCUUUUACACGUUGAAUUUGGCUAUUGGCAAAAAAAGCCCUGACCCAGAGCUUGGGACUCCUCCCGGCCUGCACACGACUUCCCGACUCUUGCCUCCUAGCGCGGCUCUUGGCUAGCGGGCGGGCAGCCUCCACCCAGCGUAGAACCGCGGCAGCCGCAGCCCCCGCAGGCUGGCGGUCAGACACUAGCAGGAAAAGGGACACAAGGCCUGCGUGGUGGGAAAGCAUGGGAGACGUCGCUUUCCCACCAGGCGAGAAGGUCUCCCUACAGUCUUUGGACAGAAGAUGGAGGGAGGCACCCCUUCCAGGAGCAAGGCGGCUGCUCCUGAGGCCUGGCUCCGCACGGAGGCUCCUGGGUCCCGCGCGCCCUCUCCCUACCGGUUAUAGCCAGAGCUGCUUCACACAUCUCAGCCGGCUUCCUCUUCCGCCUCUGCCACCUCUUCCUCCCCAGCUCGUGGGAAAGACCUAGCCUCCUCUCCAACACUUGGAGAGGGAGUUGGAUGAACGUCUCCUAACCCCAGUAGGACAGAGAUCCUGAGGUAGGAGGGGACCCCUUGCCUUGCUGCUUCUUUUGGCACCGCUGACCCGGGCCCAGGACUCCUCGCUCCUCCUGGAAGGCCUGGGUCGUGUAGCCCACAGAGGUGGCCACGUGGGCAUCUCCCCCACUGCUCCUCAUAGAACCGGAGGCAUUAUCCUGCCGGGCCCACUCUUACCCAUGAAAGAAACUUGGGAAAUGCUCCCGGGGAAGCCGGGGAUCUGGGCGCUCGACCACUUCGGUGUGAAUCUUCCGUCCGCUCAUCCUUCCUUCGGAGGGUCUUGGGGAGAGGAGAAAUGCUCAAGGACGAUGCGCUUUGCAGCGUCUCAAGGGAAACUAGAUCUCAACGGAUACCAGAAGUCUGGAGCGUCUUCCUGGAGGAAGGCGGCCCGAGGCCUGCGGUUGCAGGGAGGCUUGCGGAGCACAGCGCCCUCUCUCAGCCUGAGCUAUCCAGUGGCUUCCAGCAUCCCAGCUGGCCGACUCCACUUCCUCUCUCUUCCUCCUACUGCGGGUCUUCUUCUUCUCUUUGGGGACCGAAUCUCGCUCUGUCGCCCAGGCUGGAGUGCAGUGGCGCGAUCUCGGCUUACUGCAACCUCCGCCUCCCGGGUUGAAGCGAUUCUCCUGCCUCAGCCUCCCGAAUAGCUGGGACUACAGGCGCGUGCCACCACGCCCGGCUAAUUUUUUGUAUUUUUAGUUGAGACGGGGUUUCACCCUGUUAGCCAGGAUGGUCUCGAUCUCCUGGCCUCUUGAUCCGCCCGCCUCGGCCUCCCAAAGUGCUGGGAUUACAGGCGUGAGCCUCCGCGCCCGGCCUACUGCGGCUCUUCUAUCCUGGUGUUCUUUGAAUGCCUAUCUUCCUUUUGUGCCACAGAACCUCUCACGCCCGCCACAGGUUGCUCAUUUCCUUGGUUGUUCUGAACUUUAAAUAAGUUAAUGUAUGUAAGAGUGCCAUAAAUGCUCAGUAAUUGACAUCUGUUAUUUUCAUCAGUAACAUCAUCUGAAUCAUCUGUAUUGUCUAUUUUUAACAACUGCAUUUUUCAUUGUCCAAAUAAAGUCACAUACAUUUGAACAUUAUAUAAUGAUUGAAUAAUAAAAUUAUUCUGCUAUUUUACAAUAAAAA